CUUCAUCCUCACUAUCUACUUUAACUUCAUUAUCCACUCCACCCUCACUCUCUACUUCAACUUCAACCUCACUCUCUACUUCAACUGCAACCUCACUGUCAACUCCACCCUUAUUGUUUACUUCAACUUGAACCUGACUCUCCACUACAAUUUCUUCCUGCACUCCACCAUCCACCUCCUUUGCACCACUUUCUUCCACCUACACUCCACCAUCCACC
rnacentral:lncRNA from 1 species